ACUACAUCAAGAGCGCCGAUCUCUCUGCCUUCUCCCAGUAUCCCUCUGAAGUGCUCAUCUAUUACAACUACUCGAUGAUCGACAGAUCUCUGUGCCGCUCGUAUUUCUCGUCUCUGGGAGCGGCCGACUUCUCCGUCCUGUCCAGCACACUGUCCUUCAAGAAGCAGACGCUCUUCAACCAUGCCAGGGGCUGUCUAGGCAUCUCAGGCGUCAGCAUCAGUCGGGAUCAGCUGGAUGUUUUGGGCAGCAUGAGCUGUUUUCUGAGCAGCGA